GGAAAGAUGUCCGAGCGGCUGAAGGAGCGCGCCUCGAAAGCGUGUAAACGUUCAUAGCGUUUCGUGGGUUCGAAUCCCACUCUUUCCG
rnacentral:tRNA from 1 species